UAUGCUUACACUUUACAGAGGUUUUGACAAGAACACACUCCAUCAAUAUUCUUUCACAUUAUGGAUGAGUAUAUCUUCAAGAUCACUUGAAAAGAAAAAAAACAAACAAUCCUGAUAAUUGACAGAGCAUGUCCAGGUGACAACAGGAUUGAAGAGAAAGAAGAAGACUAAGUGAAUAACCAUGAUGAAUUGAAGUGGGAAAUACAUGGGAAAUGAAGAAAGUGGACGUGAUACCAAUAGUGAGUGGUGCAGUUGGAAGUAUCAGUACAUAACUACCAACACACCUUAAAAAGAAUGGAACUUAUGUAAAGAAAGAACACCUACAAAAACCAUCAUUGCUUGGAAUUGCAAAUGUUCUCUCCAGGGUUCUUGAAGUAUUAUCAGUAAACAAGUUUCACCUUU